rnacentral:snoRNA from 1 species
AUCCUCUCUGGAUGGCACCUGGAGAGUUUCCAGUCCUCUAUCAGUCUCGGCUAUGGGAGGGAGAGUCAAGCAGAGGCCAUACUCAUUCCAUUUCUAGCAUGGGCAGUGGCUAGUGAGUGGAAGGCAAUCUGCUGCAAGU